rnacentral:rRNA from 1 species
AAAUUGAAGAGUUUGAUCAUGGCUCAGAUUGAACGCUGGCGGCAGGCCUAACACAUGCAAGUCGAACGGUAACAGAAAGAAGCUUGCUUCUUUGCUGACGAGUGGCGGACGGGUGAGUAAUGUCUGGGAAACUGCCUGAUGGAGGGGGAUAACUACUGGAAACGGUAGCUAAUACCGCAUAACGUCGCAAGACCAAAGAGGGGGACCUUCGGGCCUCUUGCCAUCGGAUGUGCCCAGAUGGGAUUAGCUAGUAG